rnacentral:rRNA from 1 species
CCUACGGGUGGCAGCAGUGAGGAAUAUUGGUCAAUGGGCGGAAGCCUGAACCAGCCAAGUAGCGUGCAGGAUGACGGCCCUACGGGUUGUAAAUUGCUUCUAUACGGGAAUAAGGCGUCUAAUGUGUAGGGCUUCGCAUGUACCGUAUGAACAAGGACAGGCUAAUUCCGUGCCAGCAGAAGAGGUAAUACGGAAGGUCCGGUCGUUAUCCGGAUUUAUUGUGGUUAAAGGGAGCGUAGGCCGCAUGUCAAGCGUGCUGUGAAAUGUCCGGGCUCAACCCGGGCCUUGCAGCGCGAACUGGCAUGCUUGAGUCCGCGGAAGGCAGGCGGAAUUCGUCGUGUAGCGGUGAAAUGCUUAGAGAUGUGGAAGAACCCCGAUGGCGAAGGCAGCUUGCUGCAGCGGAACUGACGCUGAUGCUCGAAAGCGCGGGGAGCGAACAGGAUUAGAUACCCUUGUAGUC